UUGGAUCUCUGCUUGGGCAGUGACGUCCUCCCGUGCAUUCCACUUCAAUCGUUGGCACAAGAGUGACUAUAGCCUUGGCCGUCAUCAUUGGUUUCCUGUGUUGCAUACCUACAUCGAUGGAAUUCGUAGACCAAUUCUUAUCUAGUUCGCCUAUCGCUGCCCGUUCGCACGGUGCGGCUUCGGGUGAACCUCAAAGCGAAAUUCGUGUUCUGCGUCGUUUGCGCAUCGCGUUAACGUCACGGCCCACGAGUUCUCGCUUGACCUCGGGGAUGCGGAAAACGCUAGUGGUACGGGGUCCUUGACCUCAAUUUGCCCACAAAAUUGGCAUCACACGCCACAUUCGAACGACUCUCGGCGUCGCACUGACGAUUGCGUCUUGCGACCCGAUGUCCGUGAGGAAUGCUACUGUUUUGAUCCUGCA
rnacentral:misc_RNA from 1 species